rfam:Nicotiana attenuata strain TT chromosome 5, whole genome shotgun sequence.
CCGACCUUAGCUCAGUUGGUAGAGCGGAGGACUUUAGAUCCUUAGGUCACUGGUUCAAAUCCGGUAGGUCGGA